rnacentral:rRNA from 1 species
AUACGGGAGGCAGCAGUGGGGAAUAUUGGACAAUGGGCGCAAGCCUGAUCCAGCCAUGCCGCGUGGAUGAUGAAGGCCCUAGGGUUGUAAAGUCCUUUCGGCGGGGAAGAUAAUGACGGUACCCGCAGAAGAAGCCCCGGCUAACUUCGUGCCAGCAGCCGCGGUAAUACGAAGGGGGCUAGCGUUGCUCGGAAUCACUGGGCGUAAAGCGCACGUAGGCGGACUCUUAAGUCGGUGGUGAAAUCCUGGAGCUCAACUCCAGAACUGCCUUCGAUACUGAGAGUCUUGAGUCCGGGAGAGGUGAGUGGAACUGCGAGUGUAGAGGUGAAAUUCGUAGAUAUUCGCAAGAACACCAGUGGCGAAGGCGGCUCACUGGCCCGGUACUGACGCUGAGGUGCGAAAGCGUGGGGAGCAAACAGGAUUAGAUACCCCAGUAGUC